rnacentral:lncRNA from 1 species
GGGGCAAGUCGGAGGGCAGUGCCACUGUGGGAGUCAAACCAGGCAGAAGUGGUGGGCUGGCCAGCACCCGGUCCUGUUUCCUGCCCCGCCUGCCAGCCCUGGGCUGCCCACCGCUGCAGCCCUGCGCACGUACUCUAUGGUUUACCAGUCACAGAGCCGUCAUUUACUAAGACAGCCAUCAGCUGGGUGCCAAGGCGCUCCACUGGGAGAACAGCUGAGCCAGGGCUCCAGGACAGCAGGUGCCCCACAUGCACAGGGACAGUGGACCUUGCCUUCUUGGCCACACACAGGAGGUCCCUGGAAAUGGCCCAGAUCCACCUGUGGAGUAGAGGCCUACUGGUGGGAGCUGUGACGCACCAGGAGCCUGGAGACUGUGCGUUCAGGGCUCGCCCAGCAAGGGGGCAGCCAGAGAAGAGGGGAGGCUCUGGAGUGGACAAAGGGAGGCUCAGGUGAACCCUGUCACCAGGGAGGCUGGGCCUCCUGUGGGACGCCUCAGGAGCACGCUUGGCUUGCUCUGGUUGGUCUGGAGUCAGGAGCCAGGAGGUUAGGGAAGGGCUGGGGAGAGCCCAGUGUGGAGCACUGCCUGGCGUGCAGGAGGCCCUGGGUCCAUGACCAGGAAUAUUGAGGAGCUGUCAGUUAUUAACCGAGUCUGGUCGCCUUGGGCCAGCUACUGCAGGGCAGUUGGCCUCCUGACUGGGUUGUGGCUGAUGGUGGGUCAGAGUUCUCUUCAUACAUGCAUAUAUCUAUGUGGCCCUGGGGGUGACCCCAGGGCCUUGCACACACUGAGCACAUGCUUCACCACUGAAGUACACCGUAGUCUCUCCUUGGAUUCUGUGUGGCCGCUUGCAUUGUCUGUUGGCUCAGAUUCUCAGGACCACAUAUUUGGUAAAAGGUUCUUAGAUUUGAUAGCAAAACACAAGCAACAAAAGAGAAAACAGGCAGAGUGUACUUUUUCAAGAUAAAACCAGCCUUGGGUCUGUGCCUCUUGUCAGGCUUGGACAGCACCCAGCUGGGUUUGGGUGUCCUGGCUUCCAUCUCUGUGGUGCCUAGAGACAAGUGGCAGUUACUGACGACAACUCUGGGUCUGUAUUUCCUGCGUGAUUUUUUACAAUAAGACACCAGCUACUUAAGAAAUAGACACUUUAAUCCAUCAAUUCAUCUAUUGAACAAAUCGGAAGAAUAUUCCAAGAGGUGAAACCUCUUUAAAAAAUAGGUCAAGGGUCCGGGGAUGUGGCUCAAGUGGUAGCGCGCUCCCCUGGCAUGGGCGCGGCCCAGGUUCGAUCCUCAGCACCACAUACAAA